rnacentral:rRNA from 1 species
AUGCGAUACUUGGUGUGAAUUGCAAAUUCAGUGAAUCAUCGAGUCUUUGAACGCACAUUGCGCCCCCUGGUAUUCCGGGGGGCAUGCCUGUCCGAGCGUCAUUUCUGCCCUCAAGCACGGCUUGUGUGUUGGGCCCCGUCCUCCGAUCCCGGGGGACGGGCCCGAAAGGCAGCGGCGGCACCGCGUCCGGUCCUCGAGCGUAUGGGGCUUUGUCACCCGCUCUGUAGGCCCGGCCGGCGCUUGCCGAUCAACCCAAAUUUUUAUCCAGGUUGACCUCGGAUCAGGUAGGGAUACCCGCUGAACUUAAGCAUAUCAAU